rnacentral:rRNA from 1 species
CCUACGGGAGGCAGCAGUGAGGAAUAUUGGUCAAUGGACGCAAGUCUGAACCAGCCAUGCCGCGUGCAGGAAGACGGCCCUAUGAGUUGUAAACUGCUUUUGUACGGGGGUAAACCCAGAUACGCGUAUCUUUCUGAAUGUAUCUUACGAAUAAGGAUCGGCUAACUCCGUGCCAGCAGCCGCGGUAAUACGGAGGAUUCAAGCGUUAUCCGGAUUUAUUGGGUUGAAAGGGAGCGUAGGGGGUCGGAUAAGUUGGGGGUGAAAUGCCGAGGCUCAACUUCGGAAUUGCCGUUGAUACUGUCCGGCUAGAGAGUAGUUGAGGUAGGCGGAAUGUGUGGUGUAGCGGUGAAAUGCUUAGAGAUCAUGCAGAACACCGAUUGCGAAGGCAGCUUACCAAGCUGCUACUGACGUUGAGGCACGAAAGCGUGGGGAGCAAACAGGAUUAGAUACCCGUGUAGUC